rnacentral:rRNA from 1 species
CAGCAUGGUCUUAGCUUGCUAAGCCGAUGGCGACGGCGCACGGGUNAGUAACACGUAUCCAACCUGCCGUCUACUCUUGGACAGCCUUCUGAAAGGAAGAUUAAUACAAGAUGGCAUCAUGAGUUCACAUGUUCACAUGAUUAAAGGUAUUCCGGUAGACGAUGGGGAUGCGUUCCAUUAGAUAGUAGGCGGGGUAACGGCCCACCUAGUCUUCGAUGGAUAGGGGUUCUGAGAGGAAGGUCCCCCACAUUGGAACUGAGACACGGUCCAAACUCCUACGGGAGGCAGCAGUGAGGAAUAUUGGUCAAUGGACGAGAGUCUGAACCAGCCAAGUAGCGUGCAGGAUGACGGCCCUAUGGGUUGUAAACUGCUUUUAUAAGGGAAUAAAGUGAGUCUCGUGAGACUUUUUGCAUGUACCUUAUGAAUAAGGACCGGCUAAUUCCGUG